AUGACUCUCGGCAACGGAUAUCUCGGCUCUCGCAUCGAUGAAGAACGUAGCGAAAUGCGAUACUUGGUGUGAAUUGCAGAAUCCCGUGAACCAUCGAGGUUUUGAACGCAAGUUGCGCCCGAAGCCGUUAGGCUGAGGGCACGUUUGCCUGGGCGUCGUA
rnacentral:rRNA from 1 species